rnacentral:rRNA from 1 species
UACGUAGGGUGCAAGCGUUAAUCGGAAUUACUGGGCGUAAAGCGUGCGCAGGCGGUUUUUUAAGUCUGCUGUGAAAGCCCCGGGCUCAACCUGGGAAUUGCGAUGGAGACUGCAAGGCUUGAAUCUGGCAGAGGGGGGUAGAAUUCCACGUGUAGCAGUGAAAUGCGUAGAGAUGUGGAGGAACACCGAUGGCGAAGGCAGCCCCCUGGGUCAAGAUUGACGCUCAUGCACGAAAGCGUGGGGAGCAAACAGG